rnacentral:lncRNA from 1 species
UUCCUGUUGACUGGCUUUCUGCAGCGUCUCCGCCUCCCUUCCUCUCCCUAGAAGGGAAUCUACUGUGCAGCAGGCCCGGGAAAUCUGCAGUGGGUGUCCCCCCUGCCACACUACACACUCCGCUUCUUUCUGCUCCUCCCUCCUGGCUGCCAUAGAAACCAGCCUGCCAGGUCCAGGCCCGCGUCGCGCCGCGGUGGCCAUCCAGGCUCCUUCCCCGGCUCCCCAGAGCCAGCCCCCCGCUCGGGAUUGGUCCUGUUCAGGACGCUGAGGGACACUAGGCUCUGGUGGCGGAGCCAGAAGCAGACAGACAGCGGGGUUUGCCACGGCCCUGUGGGUCAGAUCUGCUGCUCAUCACAGCUCACAGAGGCUGUGCGACCCAGAUGUCUGCGCCCCGGGACACCCACGAGCCUGCUCCAGUGCCUGCCACUCGGCGCGCCUAGCCUGGCCGCACAGCGAGCUCCCCAGGCGGCCUCCCGACUGAGGUGUGGCCGGGGAGACGGAGUGGCACGAAUCCUCAAUGACAGCAUGCACCACAAUCCUGCCUAGAGAAAGGCGCUUCUUUGGGAAGACCUAACAAUGUAAGAAGGAACUUCGUUGUUCUUUCUGGGUAUCUCUCCAGGAUUAUUAUAAUGGAGGUAGAGGACUUGGAGGUCCAACCAGGAAGGGACUUCAACAGAGUCAAAACGCCGUCUGCAAGCAGAACACAUUGGUUCCGAUGGCAAAAGAUGGAUUUUCCCCUUUCCCUCUCUUCCUCCUCCUCUCGUCCCUCUCCUUCACCCUUAGUCUGUCCCUUUUCGAGUUUCUCCCCCUCCGGAGUGUAGUAGACAAGAGGGCUCUAUGUUAAGCCCACCCUCCCCCACCCCAUGUCAAAAUAAGGGCGAACGAAUCACAUUCUAAGUGCUCACCGU